rnacentral:rRNA from 1 species
CCUGACGCAGCAACGCCGCGUGAGUGAUGAAGGUCUUAGGAUCGUAAAGCUCUGUCAGAUGGGAAGAAGUGCAAGUUGGUUAAUACCCAAAGUGUUUGACGGUACCAUCAAAGGAAGCACCGGCUAAAUCCGUGCCAGCAGCCGCGGUAAUACGGAUGGUGCAAGCGUUGUUCGGAAUUACUGGGCGUAAAGGGCGCGUAGGCGGCAUUGCAAGUCAUAUGUGAAAGUCCAGGGCUCAACCCUGGAAGUGCAUGUGAAACUGCAAAGCUUGAGUAUGGGAGAGGAAAGUGGAAUUCCCGGUGUAGAGGUGAAAUUCGUAGAGAUCGGGAGGAAUACCGGAGGCGAAGGCGACUUUCUGGACCAAUACUGACGCUGAGGCGCGAAAGCGUGGGGAGCAAACAGGAUUAGAUACCCUGGUAGUCCACAGCUGUAAACGAUGAUAACUAGGUAUAGGGGGUAGUUGACCCCUCCUGUGCCGCAGCUAACGCAUUAAGUUAUCCGCCUGGGGAGUACGGUCGCAAGAUUAAAACUCAAAUGAAUUGACGG